GCACCCCAGGGCCCCCAGAGACACCCCCAGGGAUGGCCCAGGUGUUCCCCAGGGCUGCUACAGACGCUACAGGUGUUCCCCAGGUACCCCCAGGUCUGUUACAGACCCUACAGGUGUUCCCCAGGUACCCCCAGGUACCCCUCAGGUACCCCCAGGGCUGUUACAGACGCUACAGGUACCUCCCAGGUACCCCCAGGUACCCCAAGGUCUCUUAAAGAACCCUACAGGUGUUCCCAGGUGUUCCCCAGGGCUCCUACAGACACUACAGGUGUUCCCCAGGUACCC